rnacentral:rRNA from 1 species
GACGAACGCUGGCGGCGUGCUUAACACAUGCAAGUCGAACGGAAAGGCCUCUUUCGGGGGGUACUCGAGUGGCGAACGGGUGAGUAACACGUGAGUAACCUGCCCUUGACUUUGGGAUAACUUCAGGAAACUGGGGCUAAUACCGGAUAGGAGCUCCUGCUGCAUGGUGGGGGUUGGAAAGUUUCGGCGGUUGGGGAUGGACUCGCGGCUUAUCAGCUUGUUGGUGGGGUAGUGGCUUACCAAGGCUUUGACGGGUAGCCGGCCUGAGAGGGUGACCGGCCACAUUGGGACUGAGAUACGGCCCAGACUCCUACGGUAGGCAGCAGUGGGGAAUAUUGCACAAUGGGUGGAAGCCUGAUGCAGCAACGCCGUGUGCGGGAUGACGGCCUUCGGGUUGUAAACCGCUUUCGCUCAUGACGAAGCUUUGUGUGACGGUAGUGGGUAAAGAAGCACCGGCCAACUACGUG